AAAGCUGCUUCCUCAACUGUUUCAAGCUGCAAAUGUUUGAGAAUAACAACUCCCCCACACUCCCACGGAAACCAUUGUAAUUAGACUAGACAGUGGGAACCUGGGCUUGCUGUCCCCAAAGCCACAGAGCUGAACGGUCUAGGCAUUAGGUGGGGGAGAUGGUCUCCUGUGAGUCAGGCUCUGGUUGGGGUUUGGGCCCUAGAACUGGGAAAGGAGAAGGGGCAGACUUUGUAAGCAUAUGCUAGGUAUCCGAUAGUCCUGUAGAAUUUAGUGAAGAAACCUUAUACAGUUUUUAAUUUUUAUAUAAACUAUAACUCAGACCCACGCUACAAGGUUGGAAUUUUGGUUGUUGUUGGUUUUUUUUUUUUUUUUAAAGUACCCUGCCUGUAUAAUUGCAUCAGAAUCCCACCCCCAACCCCGCCCCCUGUGUUUGUAUUUUGGGUUGGUUUACACUUGCACUCAAUUUUCAGUUUCUCCCUUUUUACCUUCUACCUUCACCUCCAGGACCCUCCCCCUUUAAAAAAAAAUAAAUCGCUGACAAGUGUGAACCCGUGAAGAACUUUCUUUUGUGUUGUGUGUAUCCUGUACAGCAAGGUUGGUCCUUCGUGACAACGGAUGAAAUGGUUCCCUUUUUUAAAGCGCUCUCUCUUCCUCCACCCCCAGCGCCCCUGUCCUUGGCAUGUUUUGUAUCAGCGAUCAUUCUGAACUGUACAUAAUUUAUGUUGCGAGAGGCAAAGGGCAAGUUUUGGAUUUUGCUUCUUCAAAGUUUGUUUUUAAACG
rnacentral:lncRNA from 1 species